CGCGUCUUCUUCAGACACGUUUAACUUAGCGCCGUACAUAAGCGUGAGUCUCUCUCUCUUCCUCUCCGUGCGAUCGGAUAAUCAUGGCGCACGGCGGGUACGGCAAGCGGAGAGUGAAGCCGGCCGCCGGCCGCCGAUCGAAGGCGCCGGGAGUUGAGAAGAAGCCGAAGGCCGUCUCUCUCAAGAACCAGAUUCGAAGCAUUGAGCGGAUGCUUCGCAAGGAUCUUCCUCCUGAAGUGAGAGAGGCUCAGGAAAAGAAGUUAGAAGGACUCAAGAAACAGCAGGAGAUUCAUUCUCGUCUCGCUGUUGAGAAAAAGAUAUUCCUACGAGAUAGAAAGAUUAAAUUUUUUGAGAGAAGAAAGAUAGAAAGAAGACUACGACGGUUAGAGAAAAUGCAGCGCACUUCAUCGGGUCCGGAGCAAGAUGCUGCAAUUGCUGAACAGCUAUCUAAAUUGAAAGAAGAUCUUGAAUAUGUCAGGUUCUUUCCCAAGACAGAGAAGUAUGUAUCUUUAUUCUCUGGAGGUGAUGGUUCAGACAUGGUUGAUAGGAGAAAUGGAUUGCGUAAGCAGAUAAAAGCUAACUUAAUUGCUGCUGCAGCCAGUGGGAAAGAUUUGGAAGAGACUGGAAGUGAGGACGAUGGACUUUUGGAUCUAAGUGAAGAUGAUUUCUUCCUUGCUGGAAGUUCAAGUGAUGAAGCUAAUGCAGAUGAUGAAUGGACAGAUAAAAGUUUGAGGGAGCAGGCUUCUAGUGCUUCAGGAAAAGCAGCAUCUGGUAUGUCGAGCGAUGAAAAAAAUCAGAGUCAGGUGUCUGCUCGAGCUUUAAUGCCUCCUCCUAGGCCAUCAAACAAGUCAUUUUCAGCAUCCGUUCAUGGUAAGUCAAGGUUUGGCUCUACAUCAAACACAAAUCUGUCUGUUCAAAGAGCCGAAGUGUCUACAUCAAGCAACACAUCAAACAGCAGAAGCAGAUCUUUCCAUGCAAGGGGAUCCUCAAACUCAAGGACUGGUCUUAGUAGUAACUUGAGUUCAAAUUCUGAUGCUCGUAAACCUCGAAGAAAAAGAAGGCCAAAGAAGAAAAAACAACAGGCAUGAUGUAGGUGGACUAACUGGAAUAUAGGCUCGGCAGCCGGGUGAUUUAGGGUGUUGUACGCUAGUCACGGUGGAGUUUACUCUGUCCGAUGCUCCAAUUGCUAUUUUGGCGGAAAUGUUUCCUUACGGUAAUUGGUGAAUAGCAGUUCAGAGGCAAUUGGAUUUCUGGAAAGCUUGGUUCGUGCGCGUGCGAGCCUUUUUUAUGGUGACAUCCUGCUUCUGUAGUUCAACCGUGGCAUGUUAUCUAUGGUCACCUUCUGAAGUUGACUUUUUCGAAACCGAAACUUAGCUGGACUGAGAUGAGGAAUUUCUUUGCACUUCGAAGCUCCAAUUGAUCCACCAAUCUUUGCACAUUGGGCAAUCACGUGGCCGACCGACGAAGUAGAAACCAAGGUGCAUCUAUUUCUAGUAAAGAACUUCUCGCUUAGAAGUGGGAUUUGCAGGAAUGAGAAUGCUGUUGUGCAAUUGCUACAUGCUUGGUUCUUACCUCUUUUCUCAGGCUUCAACACAAGUACCUCCCACUAGUUUGGGCCGGUCCGCCCAUCGAACUUGCUGUUCUUUUUUCUGUUUCCUAAACAAAACGAAACAUUUAGGGGUCUCUUCUCUGCCUAUCGUGUUCUCAUUCUCAAAUCGAGCAGUCUCACAGUCCUUUUGGAGCUGAAAUGUUUUAGAUUUAUGCAUAUGUUGCAAUUAGGGUUUGUGAAAG